rnacentral:piRNA from 1 species
UGGUUUGAAGAUUGCUCUUUGAGUCUC